CACUUAAGGAGGUAGACCUUGGCUAAGGGAAGUAACUCUUAAAAUCAUCAGUACGUUUGUGUCAACCAUUUUUAAAAAUGCAUUCUAAGCUUCUAGGUUACAUAGAUUAUUUCCAAUCUGUUUCAGGUAAAUGCUUAAAAAACAUUGAUGAAACUUGACUUUAACAAACACAUAACUGAUUUAAAGAGUUGUCCCCCUGAACAAAGGUCUACCACCUUAA
rnacentral:lncRNA from 1 species